AACGGCCAUACCAUGCUGAAUAUACCGGUUCUCGUUAGAUCACCGAAGUCAAGCAUCAUUGGGCGCGGUCAGUAAGUACUUGGGUGGGUGACCACCUGGGUACACCGCGUGCCGUU